rnacentral:rRNA from 1 species
UGGGGAAUAUUGCACAAUGGGGGAAACCCUGAUGCAGCAACGCCGCGUGAGCGACGAAGGCCUUCGGGUCGUAAAGCUCUGUCUUAGCUGACGAUAAUGACGGUAAGCUAGGAGGAAGCCACGGCUAACUACGUGCCAGCAGCCGCGGUAAUACGUAGGUGGCGAGCGUUGUCCGGAUUUACUGGGCGUAAAGGGAGCGUAGGCGGUCUUUUAAGUGGGGUGUGAAAUCCCUGGGCUUAACCCAGGAAUUGCAUUCCAAACUGGAAGACUAGAGUGCAGGAGAGGAAAGUGGAAUUCCAAGUGUAGCGGUGAAAUGCGUAGAGAUUUGGAGGAACACCAGUGGCGAAGGCGACUUUCUGGACUGUAACUGACGCUGAGGCUCGAGAGCGUGGGGAGCAAACA